rnacentral:rRNA from 1 species
GAUGAACGCUGGCGGCGUGCCUAAUACAUGCAAGUCGAGCGAACAGACGAGGAGCUUGCUCCUCUGACGUUAGCGGCGGACGGGUGAGUAACACGUGGAUAACCUACCUAUAAGACUGGGAUAACUUCGGGAAACCGGAGCUAAUACCGGAUAAUAUAUUGAACCGCAUGGUUCAAUAGUGAAAGACGGUUUUGCUGUCACUUAUAGAUGGAUCCGCGCCGUAUUAGCUAGUUGGUAAGGUAACGGCUUACCAAGGCAACGAUGCGUAGCCGACCUGAGAGAGUAAUCAGCCACACUGGAACUGAGACACGGUCCAGACUCCUACGGGAGGCAGCAGUAGGGAAUCUUCCGCGAUGGGCGAAAGCCUGACGGAGCAACGCCGCGUGAGUGAUGAAGGUCUUCGGAUCGUAAAACUCUGUUAUUAGGGAAGAACAAAUGUGUAAGUAACUAUGCACGUCUUGACGGUACCUAAUCAGAAAGCCACGGCUAACUACGUG